rnacentral:tRNA from 1 species
GGGGGUGUAGCUCAGUUGGCAGAGCGCUUCCUUUGCACGGAAGAAGUCAGGAGUUCGAAUCUCCUCACCUCCACCA